rnacentral:rRNA from 1 species
UACGUAGGGUGCGAGCGUUGUCCGGAAUUAUUGGGCGUAAAGGGCUCGUAGGCGGUCUGUCACGUCGGGAGUGAAAACUCAGGGCUUAACCCUGAGCCUGCUUCCGAUACGGGCAGACUAGAGGUAUGCAGGGGAGAACGGAAUUCCUGGUGUAGCGGUGAAAUGCGUAGAUAUCGUAAGGAAGACCAGUGGCGAAGGCGGGUCUCUGGACAGUUCCUGACGCUGAGGCACGAAGGUCAGGGGAGCAAACGGG